ensembl:snRNA U6 U6 spliceosomal RNA
AUGCUCACUUCAGCAGCACGUAUACUAAAGUUGGAACAUUACAGAGAAGAUUAGCAUGGCCCCUGUGCAAGGAUGACAUACAAAUUAGUUAAGUGUUCCACAUUAAA